GACGAACCGUGCAAACGUUGUUCGGAAUCACUGGGCUUAAAGGGCGCGUAGGCGGGAGACCAAGUCCGGGGUGAAAUCUUUCGGCUUAACCGGAAAAGGGCCUUGGAUACUGGUCUUCUCGAGGGAGGUAGGGGUCUGUGGAACUUCUGGUGGAGCGGUGAAAUGCGUUGAUAUCAGAAGGAACGCCGGUGGCGAAAGCGACGGACUGGAUCUCUUCUGACGCUGAUGCGCGAAAGCCAGGGGAGCAAACGGG
rnacentral:rRNA from 1 species